CUACGAUCGUUCCUCUCGGUACUGCUUCGCCCCAACCAAAAAAUCCCCACGAUCGUUCCUACCCGCUCGCUCCGUCCCCGACUCCCCUCCCUCCCACGCCUCGCGCCUCCUUGCACCGCUCCGGCAGCCGCUCGCCAUCCGCCGUCGCCGGCGACCACCAGCAGCGCCCGUCGCGCCUCUCCGCGCGCCACUCGGAGGCCCCAGCCAGGCCGCGCAGCCGUCCUCCACAACCCGGGCCUCCUCCUCGACCUCGCCUCUCCGUGCGACAACCGGCGUCGCCGCCGGCGGCCACGGGUCCAGCGCCGCCUUCGUCCUCCACCUUCUCCUAAAGCGCGCGUUCGCCGCGGGCGCUGGAGGUGGCGCGGCGGUCCUCGCCCUCGAGCUCACUGAGGACGGCGUCCUUGCCGAGCAGCUCGACGAGAGCAGGAGGCUCGCCUCGCUGCCAAUGUCACUGAACUGAAUCGGCAGCCAUCUCAGCCACGUCUUUCAGCACGUAACCGGCGAACCUAUUCAGCAGCUCCUGGGCAAACAGCUUUGACCCCUGUUAACACGUUAUGAGGAUCCAUGGCCUCUUCUUCUAUUUCUUCAGUGUUUCUGCUGCAUCUUCCUGACACUGGUCCUCAACUAGCUUAUUUUGCUCUUCUUUCUGAAGAUCCAUGGCCUGCUUUUCCAAUUGUUGAGUGGGUACAGUAGUCUUCAUAUCAUCACCUAAUUGAUUGCAAACAAAAUUCUCAUCCGUUUCAGAUACGAUAGUCCCGCUUUUCUGACUCUUCUCUGCUUCUGAACUUGCCUUCUCUGUUUCAAGACACAUAACGCGGGACACUGCAACUACAGAAAGGCAUGGGACACGCACCGAUUUAAGUCCAUGUCAGGGGCAUCACCUGUCUCACGUUCGCAGGAGGAAGAAGCUCUGAGUUCGCCGGAGGUACACAAACAUCCGUCGAGCACUCCAAUGUCGCCUACGGCGUCUGCACCAGAGGUGCCAAAGGCGUCUCAGGUGGAGGCGAAGGAGGUUCUUCUAAUUCCUAAGGCACCAGACUGGACAUUCCUAUGUUGACUACCAUUUAUGGUCAAUAAAGUUGUCCGUGUUUGUUUUUGAUUGCUCAACUAAAUAUCUGAAGCCAAAUGAUGUAUGCAUUCAUGUUUCUCCUCUAAGGCAGAAAGACUGGACAUUCCUAUGGAUGCCCAGUACAACCGAAGAUGGGUUCCCGAUUGUUCCUAGAUAUUUCAGAGCAACUAGAGUGGUCUUACCUGACAAGCUCCAAUGUUGUGCUGAAGUAUUUUGAACAAGCUUGUCCUUUGCCUUAUGCCGGAACAAGGCACCUUCUAUUCCCCAUGGGCACCAAGAAUGCGAAGACAUUGACGAUUCGAGCAAAUGUAGGUUCAGGCUUCAAGAUUGAGCCGAGCGCCCUACCAGCAGAUCUGGAUAAUGCAUAUCAGCGAUUGGAUAUUUCUGGCCCUACAGUUAACCCUUUUGUUUUUUCCUGUAUGGUGAGGGCGAGAUAAAAGAUAUGCUUUCUGUUUGUGCUGAGCAUGGAGCUUGGGUAGUGAUAGACACCUUCUCUGGUCUGGAGUUCCACAACAGAGAUGGCUGGAUUUUGCGGAACGGGAGGAUAUUUUCACAAGCCCAAGCCGACCACAUGGCACUUUGAAAUGCACUUAUAGGAAGCUGUUGGUUCUGAAGAACAAGAGGGAUCAACAUUUCUCUAAUCUCAUCACGCCAACAAACUGACGAAGGUACCACUGUGGUAUUUAGAUGCUGGCGAAACCGACGGCGUACAUCGGCAAAUCGUUCAGGGUGGAUGAUUUUGAAGGCGAGCUCGACGGCUGCAAUAUCAGGGAAGCCCUACUGAACUACUGCAGGUUCAGCUUACCCUGUAGUAUUUUCUUUACAACAAGGCCUCACACGAGCAAAACUGUCAUCUUGUUGUUUAGUUUUGGCCCGGGACUGCAAUUUUUUCCCUUAUUGCAUCCCUUAGUGCAUAAAAUAAAAUAUAUAAUGUGCAUAAAAGCUGAAAACAACCAUUACGAUCAUAGUAGGCGAACUGAAAUUGUAGGGAUAUAAAGCAGUACCUGAACAUACAAAAGCUGGCCACAACUCUGUCUUCAAUUCCAUCUUGUUUCCAGAUUUCAGGAGUAGAUCAUCACCACCAUCACGACGAUCAGGCUCUUUGUCAGUGCAAAUAACAGACUAACACCACAAGGACUUCAUUAACCUUAGCCACUUCUUAUGGGUACAUGAGAACUAAAAAAAUUCAUCUGUUAAAAUUUGUUUUUGUGACUGUUUGGACUAAUUCAUGUGCAUAAUUUAUAUUUUCAAUUAGACUGAUUUAUUGUAGUUUUAUCAAUGAAGUAUAUUAAGAUGUGGGCAUUAUAUCGAAAGUGUUGUUCUACACCCGAGGUCAUGUGAGCUCGGGUGAACAGUAAAAUAAAUAAAAAAUGGAAAAACAAUUCAAAAAAUGUGAUUUCUUUUUGUGUGAGACACUGAAAAAAUGUUUAUUGGCUUGCAAAAUUUCAAUACUAUCUUUCUUGACAGAUUGUUUGUGGUCUGCCAUGAGCCCACGACGUACCCAUCUGCAUCUGCCUCGCCUUGAGGCCACAGCAGCACCCCUGCCCUUCUGCUCCUGCUGGCGACCGCAACCCUCUGGCGGCAGCGACGCCGCUCUCGUGUGCUGGCCUUGCUGUCUCAUCUCCUCUCGCUCUCAUGUUUGGGUCUGAUGUUAGCGUUAUGUGUGUGUGGAUGGAUAUGAUGCUACCACGGUGUGUGUACAAAUCUAUUUUUGGUUUAUUUUUCUUUGGAGUAUUGCUGUUGGAGAUGAGCUUAAGAGGCGAAAGAGUAAAGAUCUGGUAGGCUGUUUGUAUUGCUUCAGGAGAAUCUUUUAUCACUGUUUUUGGGACUGUAUUUAUGUCAAAGAGGCAUGUAGGGAGCUGGAACAAAUUUGUUACUUCUCAUGGCCACUUUUUUGAACAUGAUUACUGAGCUUGACUAUGCGGAGGUAGUAAAAAAAUAUCAGUGUGAUGGGCUUGAGAGAUAUCAUGUAAUCCCUUUUAUUGAGGAAAUUAAGGAGAUCUGUGCGAGUAAUAUUCAGGUGGAG
rnacentral:rRNA from 1 species